GUCAGGAUGGCCAAGUGGUCCAAGGUGCUGCGUUCUGGUUGCAGUCUUUCCUGGAGGUGUGGGUUCAAAUCCCACUUCUGACA